rnacentral:tRNA from 1 species
ACCGAAAUAGCUCAGUUGGGAGAGCGUUAGACUAUAGAUCGAAAGGUGCCUGGUUCGGCAAACUUUUUUUCUAUU